GUCGGCUUUGGGGAUUUUCCAUGGAGAAGGGGGAAGUAGUACGCCGUACCAAACUCGGUCCAGCCGCCGGCGGCGGCGGAGGACGAGGAGGAGGAGCACGCCGUCCCAAGAUGGGUCCAGGCGGCGGAGGAGCCGACCUCAUCAGCGCCCUCCCGGAGGAUCUGCUUCUCCAGGUCCUCGGGUGCCUCCGAUGCGCCCGCGCCGCCGCGCGCACCAGCAUCCUCUCCCGCCGGUGGCGCGGCCUCUGGACCCGCCUCCCCGACCUCGUCUUCCGCGGCGUCGCGCUCCGCUCCCUCCAAGCGGCGCUCGCCUCGGUCCAAGCCGCGGCCGGCCCCGUGGGGGUGACCCUCCUCGACAUGUGCGUUCCCGACGCGCUCCUACACUCCGUCCGCGAGUACGACAUGCCCCCGCUGCUCCACGCCGCCGCGGCGCUCUCGCCGGUGGACCUCCGCCUCGCCGUGGGGGAGGGCACGCAGCGCCUGUACGUGCAGGUGGAGGUGCCCCGCCUCCCCCGCGCCAUCUCGGUGGAGCUUCAAGGCCUGGAUCUCGUGUUCGCCGACCCGCGCCGCAGCUGGCUGGGGUUCCCCGCGCUGGAGACGCUCUCCCUCACCGGCUGCCGCGCCAACCUCACGGACCUGGUCCUCCGCUGCCCGCGCCUGCGCGUCUUCAGACUCAGGGAGGACCACGGCGCCCACCACAUGAACAUCAUCAUCAGGUCCUCGUCGCUGCAGGAGCUCCAUGUGGACACCAGGAUCCCCUUCACCUACCGCAUCGACAUCAGGGCGCCCGCGCUCAAGCGAUUGGCCAUGUCCUUCAGCACCAGCGACAAGAUCAUUGUGCUGGUGUCCGUUUUGGCGCCAAUGCUGGAGACGGUCUCAUGGCGCUGCACCUAUUCCACAGUGUCUGCCCGGUUUGGUCUUUGGGGCCUCUCAGAGGUGAGGUUACAGACGGAGGAGAACAAUGGACAUGGCGGGCAGCUUCCUCCUCACGUCAAUGUCCUGUCGCUCUUCGUGGCUGCAGAUGAUUCAUAUGAGUUUCCAGAGGAAGUCAGCCUUAGGACGGAGAUAGAGAAACAUAUGGUUACCCAUUUCUCUGUUUGGAGCUACGUGUCGAAACGUGGGGGCAUGUUUUUGGAGCAUUUGCAUUGCACAUCCUUGAAAUGGAUCAGAUUUCCACUGCUAUACAAAGCCUUAAAGUCAUCCUGCUGAGUUCAGAGGAUGAUGAAGCAUGCCCACAAAAUUGCCCUUGUGAGGAGCCCAGUAACUGGAGAAGCCAAACUAUCUCCUUGACCAAUCUUGAAAAAGUGGAAAUCAAAGGCUUCCAAGGAGAAGGUCAUGAGUUUGAUUUCUUGAAACUGGUAUUUAGAUGCACACCAAUGCUGAAAACAAUGUCUGUGAGGCUGUCAGAUGAGGUCACAGCAAGUAACGACGAUUGCUGCAAGAAAAUACAUGACGUCUUCAAGAUGUAUCCUUUUGUGGAAUGCAAUGUGAUUGUGGAUCUUAGUCCUGAGUCAACAGACAGCAGCCAUGGUGGUGCCUCGACAUGAUCCUCAGUUGCCACAUUUGUCGAAUCAGGUGGGUUGUCAAAGAGACCGUCUUCUACCGUGCUGGCUGACUCCACUAGCUACCUAGUUCCAGGAUUUUGCUUGGUGGCUUGAUAUGUUAUUUUGCUAUUGCAGUGGAGCCACAGGCACGAAAUGUUGCGCUCUUAGUUAAUGCAUUAGCGGUAGCCAUUGCCUGAUUGCGUAGCAAUUACCAGAUUUAGUGGACUCAACUUAUGUCAGCCUGCCCAAGUGAUGUUCUGUAAGCCUAUUAUGGCUUGUAUGCUUUUCUUGGCCAGCAUGUUCCUGAUUAGCUAACUCGGUAUGGCACUACAUGGUCGUUUAAGGCAUCACUGCUUAAAAUGUUGGAAGGAAAAAUGAAGUUGCAUACUACACUAAAACAUCUGGCGCACAACUGCGUUGUCAAGUGUUGUGGAAAUGGGUAGCACCUACAGUGGCCAGAGCUUUUCAUGACGCCGUCGCCUCAUUGUGGCCUCAACUGGGUGUGAUGAAGCCUGUUGGAGUUGAGUUUGUGCUUUGGUUCAUUUGAUGCUCUGUACCAUCCUAAUCAAACUAGCCUCAGAUUCAAACUGCAGCAAUCUGGAAUAGUUUCUGUGCAUUCCGGAUGGGUUGAUCCCAUGGUUGUCUGAAUUUUAUGUAGUAUGAAAAGGUUUGUGACAUUCCCAUAUGAAAAAGAUUUGCUGUUCUU